rnacentral:misc_RNA from 1 species
AUUAAUGACUCUCCAGCAGUUUUCUGAAUUUCCUGAUGUAAGCAUUAGGAAUUGUGCAUUUGCGGUUGGUCUCUCAAGGAAAAUGGAAGAGAGGCACCAUACAAAAUGGGUGAUUAAGAAGAAGAAGGUGAUGCAGAGACUGGAACAGAACUUAAAUCCUAGAGCAUCUAUGGCGCCAUCUGUAAAAAGGAAAGCUAUGCAGGCUACUACAACAAGGCUAAUCAACAGAAUCUGGGGGGAAUACUAUUCCAAUUACUCACCCGAGGUGUCAAAGGAGGUGGCUGAUUGUGAGGUGAAGGAUGAUGAAGAACCAGAUGAGCAAGAGGAAAAUGAAGAGGAUGAUGUUCCGGAGGAGAACUUGGAUGUUCCAGAGAAAGCUCAUACACCUUCUUCUACAAGAAGGCAUAUUAAGUCACGUUCUGACAGCAAAGAAAUAAACUGGGAUGGGGAAUCCAUAGGUAAAACAGCUUCUGGUGAACAGUUGUUUAAAAAAGCUAGAGUUCA